rnacentral:rRNA from 1 species
UACGGGGGGGGCAAGCGUUGUUCGGAAUUACUGGGCGUAAAGGGCGUGUAGGCGGCCAACUAAGUCCGACGUGAAAUCCCCAGCUUAACCUGGGAACUGCGUCGGAUACUGGAUGGCUUGAAUCCGGGAGAGGGAUGCGGAAUUCCAGGUGUAGCGGUGAAAUGCGUAGAUAAUCUGGGAGGAACACCGGUGGCGAAGGCGGCAUCC